GAUGAACGCUGGCGGCAUGCCUAAUACAUGCAAGUCGAACGAGAGGAAGGAAAGCUAGCUUUUCUGAAUCUAGUGGCGAACGGGUGAGUAACACGUAGGUAACCUGCCCAUGUGCCCGGGAUAACUUCUGGAAACGGAUGCUAAAACCGGAUAGGUAGCAGACAAGCAUUUGACUGCUAUUAAAGUGGCUAAGGCCAUGAACAUGGAUGGACCUGCGGUGCAUUAGCUAGGUGGUGAGGUAACGGCCCACCAAGGCGACGAUGCAUAGCCGGACUGAGAGGGCGGACGCCCACAUUGGGACUGAGACACGGCCCAAACUCCUACGGGAGGCAGCAGUAGGGAAUUUUCGUCAAUGGGGGGAACCCUGAACGAGCAAUGCCGCGUGAGUGAGGAAGGUCUUCGGAUCGUAAAGCUCUGUUGUAAGAGAAAAACGACAUUCAUAGGGAAUGAUGAGUGAGUGAUGGUAUCUUACCAGAAAGUCACGGCUAACUACGUGCCAGCCGCCGCUGUAA
rnacentral:rRNA from 1 species